UUCCCAACCCAGGAAUAGAAUCCAGGUCUCCCUCAUUGCAGGCCACCAGGGAAGCCCAUUAGAGGGCUGCUUAUUUUCAGAUAUCUAUGUAAUCAUCUGAUAUUUACCUUGUUUGGCACAAGUGUAAGCUAAAUUAAUCUGUCCCUGGUAAUACUAGCAAGCGAUAGUUUUUUAUUGUAAUCUUGUACAGAUAUAAUGUGUGUUUCUCACUUGAGCUGGUAGUCAGAUUGCAAGCAUCCAGGCGGUUUGUUAUAUUGUUCUAAUGGCUUUAUUAACCACAGGGUAUUUGCAAGUAACCUUUCAGGGGAGAAAGGUGUGUGUGUUGCUCGGGUUUACCCUCAGAGUUCUCCAAGUAUCCAAGUAAUAUUGAUGGAUCUCAAAAUAAUGUAGGUGACAGAGGGGCUUGCAGGUGCACAGGUUACAUGCAGCAUUAUACCAAGCACGUUUUUCACAGUGUGUUUUUCAGGACUUGCCAAGAGAUCAGGCAGCGAGCCAGUCAGUGGCAGUUGAUAGGGGGACACAGCUGGUGUUGAGGUAAGUGAUGGCAUGGCCUAAACCACAUCCCAGACCAUCCAGUCUUCCUGUAUGGAGGUAAGUGAUGGCAGGUGUCAAGAAUGCUUGUCAGUAUGACUUAGAUACAGAUGUUCAGGUAUGAAAUGAUAGAGUCAUUACCAAAUCUAGAGACUGUGAGUUUUCACUUUUUAUGUUUCAGGUGAAAUUUAUGUUUAACAUAGGGGUGCUCAAGGGUUGCAGGUAUACAGGUACUUAUGGUGGUUUUCCCCACCACAGUACUACCCAUCGGAUUUGUACAGGUGUCCAGUCAAGAAAUGAUAGUCUUCCAACCUUGGUGUUAACCUUGGAUUCCUGCAGGUACCCAGAAAUCUCAGUGAACCUAACGUUGGUUGUUGAUGGGGAGACAUGGUUGGUGUGCAGGUAAGUGAUGGUGUGGGCCUGAACCACUGCAUAGGCUGUCCGGUCUCCAGGUAGCUAGGUAGGUGAUGGUGAUGUUCCUCACACUUGUUACCAUGAUUUCCUUGCAGCCUUUCAGAUAGGAAACAGUGGAUCCCUUACCAGUUCUAGAAACCAGGAGUUUUCAUUUAUUUUUUUUUAAAUUUUGUCUUUCUCAUAGUAUUGAGUAAUUUCACAUAAUCAGAGAUAAUUAGCACAAUGAACCUAGCUAGCUAUGAUAGCGACUGUGGAAAUUUUGCAUAUGUGCCCUUAAGAAAUGUCUGCUUACCUGGGAAUAUUCCUAACUUGGAUUCCUGCCAGUAUUCAAUGAGAGCUGAUGUUCUUAUAAUGAUGAAAGCAGUGUCUUCAGGUGUCUUGGUAGAACAAAUUGUGUCCUUUUUACAUGCAUCAUAUUUUUUUUUUCACCUUUGUGUCAAGAGAUCAUGGUGAACCUGAUAAUGGUUGUUCUCAAAGGCAUAUCUGGUAUCCAGGUAAGUGAUAACAGGCACCUUCAUCACAUCAGAGACCAUCCAGUCUUCAAACACUUAGGUAAGUGAUAUUUGUUACUGUUUUGCCAUGGCAUUUGGUGACUAGGUUUUCAGGUAAGAAUUGAUAGUAUUUCACCAGUUCGAGCAACCAUGUCACCCUCCUGUUCUAUAUUUUUAAAAAGAUUUCUAUUUUACCACGUAAUUGUUGAGAAACUUUUUGUUUACCAUGGCUUUUUGCAGUUUUCUUGUCAAAGACAGGAUUGUGUCUAACUAAGGUGUUGAUCUUGGACUUUUGUAAGUUUUCAGGUAGAUUCGAUUGGCCCCAUAAAUUUAAUGGAAUUUUCCCAAGUGUUCAGAUAAUACAUGUAUUCCUAAUUCAUUAUUUAUCAUUUGUCUUUAUAAUACCAAGUAAAGAGUAUGUAUAAUACCAAAAGAAGGGCCUCACAUCAUCUCUUAACUGGAUCACCAGCAAAAUGCAAAAUUGAAUCUUGUUAUUAGUUGGGCCAUCAUCUCUUGAUUGAUAUUUUUGCAGAUGUUUACUGAAGAGGAGAUAUUAUCUCUAUCCGAAGUCUUGACCCUGCUUUUUUUUUUUUGCAAAUAAAAUAUCCAGGUAGACUUAAUGGUUCCCUUUAAGUUUGUAGUGCUCAUAGGAUUUUCCAGCAUCCAGAUUGUAGAAUUAUCCUUAAACACUGGUAUCUCUUCAGUUGUUGUAGAUUCCAAUUAAGAGACUGUUGAGAAGCUCUGUACAGUAUUGGAGGCAGAAUUUUGCUUGCCUCUAACUAUAAGAUGAUGAUGUUCGUACCAAAGUUAGAGCUCUUGAGAUUGUGCAGAUAUCCAGACAGACACCAGUAGGGAUGUGUGAUAUCUUACCUGGGUAUAUGUAAACUCCCAAGGUCAUUAUCUUGAUUAGGAACACCAUCUACUCUUGCCUGAAAAUUUCAAGAAAACACAUUAGUUAGAGACACUUUCAUAGUGUGACAGGAUAUUUGAAAUUUCCUUGAUCACUGUGAUGGUUGGUCAACACAACUUAAAGGACACUUGCAAAUAAACAUGGUCACAAGGUUGGCUUAAGGACCUUGGGAGUUUAUAGAUAUCCAGGUAAGAUAUGACAUAUCCCUACUGUGAUCUUGAUCCUGAGCCUUUAUAAAUAUUCAGGCAAGAGAGGGUAUUUGUCUGAUUACAUUUGUAACCCAAAGAUUUUGCAGGUAUACAGGCAGAAAAUGGCUGUGUCUGUAUUUACGGUGCUGCCCUUUGAAUUUUGCUUGUAUCCAGGUAAGAUGAUCUGUCCUUUACCCUGCUAGAGGCCUUGGGAUAUUUUACUUGUCCAGAUAUUCUGGGACGAGAUGGUAGUAUUUGUAACAACACUACUCACCACAGGAUUUUGCAGAUACCCAGUCAAGAGAUGGCAUCUCUAUCAAUGCUAA